AAAAUUGCAAACCCUUUUAACACCAACUCUUAUCACAAAAUUGCAAACCCAUUCAAAGUGUUGAAAAUGAAGAAAGGGAAGACGCAAGCAGUGAAGACCUUACUCAAGAAGAUAUUUCACUUGAGAAGAUUUUUGGAUUUUUGCUGAAGCUUUAGAUGUUCUAGGAAUAUUUUGCUAUUGACAUUUUGGAACUCAUGCACACUCUUUAAAUGUAAAACUUUUAUGUAGUUGGGUUUUAACAUUUUGCUUUUAUGGAUAUUAUAACUAGCUUGUGGACAAUAUGUAUUAUGAAAAGUUUCAUUUUGUGAUUUUAUAUAA